rnacentral:lncRNA from 1 species
UUUAUUGUGGCAGAAGAUGGCUCCUGUGGGAUGGUUUAUGAACAUGCAGCUGCAGAAGGGCCCCCCAUUGUCGCUCUUGUGGACCAUGUCAUGGAGUAUACAAAGAAGCCUGAACUUGUGCGGUCCCCUAUGGUACCCCUGCCUAUGCCCAAGAAGCUGCGGUUCAACAUCACACCUGAGAUCAAGAAUGACAUAGAGAAGGCCAAACAGAACAUCAGCAUCAUGAUCCAGGACCUGGACAUCAUGAUGCUGGUUUUCCAUCACUUUGGAAAGGACUUCCCCAAGUCCCAGAAGCUAAGCCCUGAUGCCUUCAUCCAGAUAGCCCUGCAGCUGGCAUACUACAGGUGUGCCCUGCCUGAUCACCUGCCCCCAGAGAGGGGAGGGGAGGUACAGGCAACCCUGCGGCAACGGGACAUACUGAGAUCCUCCUCCCACCCAGGAUCUAUGGGCAGGCGUGUGCCACGUAUGAAAGCGCCUCUCUGCGCAUGUUUCACCUGGGCCGCACUGACACCAUCCGCUCCGCCUCCACAGACUCGCUGGCCUUUGUCAAAGGCAUGGAUGACCCCAAAGUGCCGGAGCAGCAGAGGGUGGAGCUGCUUCGAAAGGCUGUGCAGGCCCACCGAGCCUACACCGACCGCG